UACGUAGGUGGCGAGCGUUGUCCGGAUUCACUGGGCGUAAAGGGUGCGCAGGUGGUCGUGUGUGUCAGAUGUGAAAUCCCGGAGCUUAACUCCGGAACUGUGUCUGAAACUGCACGACUAGAGCAUUGGAGAGGGUAGUGGAAUUCACGGUGUAGCAGUGAAAUGCGUAGAUAUCGUGAGGAACACCAGAGGCGAAGGCGACUACCUGGACAAUUGCUGACACUCAGGCACGAAAGCAUGGGGAGCAAAAGGG
rnacentral:rRNA from 1 species